rnacentral:rRNA from 1 species
CCUACGGGGGGCAGCAGAGGGAAUAUUGGACAAUGGGGGCAACCCUGAUCCAGCCAUGCCGCGUGUGUGAAGAAGGCCCUCGGGUUGUAAAGCACUUUCAGUGAGGAAGAACGCCUGGUGGUUAAUACCCAUCAGGAAAGACAUCACUCACAGAAGAAGCACCGGCUAACUCCGUGCCAGCAGCCGCGGUAAUACGGAGGGUGCGAGCGUUAAUCGGAAUUACUGGGCGUAAAGCGCGCGUAGGUGGCUUGAUAAGCCGGUUGUGAAAGCCCCGGGCUCAACCUGGGAACGGCAUCCGGAACUGUCAAGCUAGAGUGCAGGAGAGGAAGGUAGAAUUCCCGGUGUAGAGGUGAAAUGCGUAGAGAUCGGGAGGAAUACCAGUGGCGAAGGCGGCCUUCUGGACUGACACUGACACUGAGGUGCGAAAGCGUGGGUAGCAAACAGGAUUAUAUACCCUAGUAGUC